rnacentral:lncRNA from 1 species
UUGUGUUUACCCUAAAAUGCUUUUUCCUCGUAUGCAUUUCAGGGUGUAGGGAUUCUCAUGGAAAAUACUUCCCAUGGCUGGCAUGGGAGUUGAAGAAUUGUUGCAUGUGCAGCCAAAGGUAAAAGAGGGAUUCAUGUGUUACCUGAAUUGCAUUUUAUCUGAUUUACAAUUUGAUUAUAUGUAUGUUUGUGCAGUCUGGUGCUUGUGUUGCUCAUUUCUAUAUGUGCUAAAUGGAGGAUUUCUUUUUCAUCCAAAACCCUAGUAUUGCAGGAGAUAGUUGCUUUAUGGGUCAGUCUUCUUACCAAAUCUUAACUCUAUGCUGACUUCUUUUUCUUUGAUUUCCUACUCUUUGUUCUGCAUAUGUGUUUUCAACCUAACUAUUUUCAUAGGGAUCAAUGGAAAUUAUGAUUUUUCAAAGAAUAUUGAAAGUAGAAGAAAAUUAAGCAUUUGUGAAAUAUGGAGGAGCAAAAUGAUUUCUUAGUUUUAGCACAUCAGUUUACAGAAGAUAUUGUAAUUUCACAUGAUGAAAAUGAAGAGGGGAACCCAGAUUUCCAAUGGAGGGACUUUUUGGGCUUGGGGGACUAGAAAUGCAAGAUAUAAGUGCAAAUAUUGGAGUUACCCAACCAUAAAUCUGUCCGAAAAACUCGCUUUAAGGGGAGGAUGUUCCUCAUACACAAGAUGGAUUUAGCAUGGGGAUAAUUAGAUCCUAGAUGUUUGUAAGACUCAAUUCUAUCCAGUUUGCGUCCUUUUGGGGCUCCAUCAUGUGGGUUCUUUCCCCUUUUCGGUCAUCUUAAACUGGCUCUGAUGGUUGUUCGAUUGGUAACUCCGAAAGAUCAGAAUAGCUGUAUCUGCUAAGAUAAUGGAUGAAAUGAUAUGCUAACUUGGCAACUCGAAAAUAAUGGCCCGUGUCUUCCUCCUAUUAGGGUAUAUUGAAUUCUAAUUCAAGAAAAUUUUGCAGUAUUCAGGGUGGAAGCAGAUCACUUAAUCUUUUGUAGUAGGGAUUUAAGAGGUUUAGGCAGAUGCUUGAAGGUUUAUUCAUACUUAUUGUGAAGCAGAUCAUCUGGAAAACUGGGGAGUUAUCAUGCUGAAGACAUUUUUCUCCUUAUUGAAGUUUUCCAAACAAACCCUUCCAUCUAGGGUGAAUUAUUGGUUUCAUUUGGCUGAGUAGGAGAUUUCAGAUAGA